GUGGAUUAGAUACCCGGGUAGUCCACGCCGUAAACGAUGGAUGCUAGCCGUUGGUGGGUUUACCCUUCAGUGGCGCAGCUAACGCAUUAAGCAUCCCGCCUGGGGAGUACGGUCGCAAGAUUAAAACUCAAAGGAAUUGACGGGGGCCCGCACAAGCGGUGGAGCAUGUGGUUCAAUUCGAAGCAACGCGCAGAACCUUACCAGCCUUUGACAUCCCGGUCGCGGGCACCAGAGAUGGAGCCCUUCAGUUCGGCUGGACCGGAGACAGGUGCUGCACGUCUGUCGCCAGCU
rnacentral:rRNA from 1 species